rnacentral:rRNA from 1 species
GACGAACGCUGGCGGCGUGCUUAACACAUGCAAGUCGUACGGUAAGGCCCUUUCGGGGGUACACGAGUGGCGAACGGGUGAGUAACACGUGAGUAACCUGCCCACAACUUUGGGAUAACGCUAGGAAACUGGUGCUAAUACUGGAUAUGUGCUCCUGCUGCAUGGUGGGGGUUGGAAAGCUCCGGCGGUUGUGGAUGGACUCGCGGCCUAUCAGCUUGUUGGUGGGGUAGUGGCCUACCAAGGCGGCGACGGGUAGCCGGCCUGAGAGGGUGACCGGCCACAGUGGGAAUGAGAGCCGGCCCAGACCCCUGCGGGAGGAAGAAGGGGGGAAUAUGGACAAAGGGGCACAAGCCGGAGGCAGCAACCCCGGGGGGGGGAGGCCGCCCUGCGGGUUGUAACCCGCUUCCAGCAGGGAAGACGUUUUUGGGGACGGCCCCGGAAAAAGAAACCCCGGCAAACUAGGUG